AAACCGGAGCUAAUACCGGAUAACAUAUUGAACCGCAUGGUUCAAUAGUGAAAGGCGGCUUUGCUGUCACUUAUAGAUGGAUCCGCGCCGUAUUAGCUAGUUGGUAAGGUAACGGCUUACCGGUUCAACGAUACGUAGCCGACCUGAGAGGGUGAUCGGCCACACUGGAACUGAGACACGGUGGAGACUCCUACGGGAGGCASCAGUAGGGAAUCUUCCGCAAUGGGCGAAAGCCUGACGGAGCAACGCSGCGUGAGUGAUGAAGGUCUUCGGAUCGUAAAACUCUGUUAUCAGGGAAGAACAAAUGUGUAAGUAACUGUGCACAUCUUGACGGUACCUGAUCAGAAAGCCACGGCUAACUACGUGCCAGCAGCCGCGGUAAUACGUAGGUGGCAAGCGUUAUCCGGAAUUAUUGGGCGUAAAGCGCGCGUAGGCGGUUUUUUAAGUCUGAUGUGAAAGCCCACGGCUCAACCGUGGAGGGUCAUUGGAAACUGGAAAACUUGAGUGCAGAAGAGGAAAGUGGAAUUCCAUGUGUAGCGGUGAAAUGCGCAGAGAUAUGGAGGAACGCCAGUGGCGAAGGCGACUUUCUGGUCUGUAACUGACGCUGAUGUGCGAAAGCGUGGGGAUCAAACAGGAUUAGAUACCCUGGUAGUCCACGCCGUAAACGAUGAGUGCUAAGUGUUAGGGGGUUUCCGCCCCUUAGUGCUGCAGCUAACGCAUUAAGCACUCCGCCUGGGGAGUACGACCGCAAGGUUGAAACUCAAAGGAAUUGACGGGGACCCGCACAAGCGGUGGAGCAUGUGGUUUAAUUCGAAGCAACGCGAAGAACCUUACCAAAUCUUGACAUCCUUUGACCGCUCUAGAGAUAGAGUCUUCCCCUUCGGGGGACAAAGUGACAGGUGGUGCAUGGUUGUCGUCAGCUCGUGUCAAAA
rnacentral:rRNA from 1 species